GGUGGUAAUCCACAAAGCUAGCACACCUCAUACCUAGACAGGCAAGCAAUUUAUACAGUUCAGUUAUACAUAUUUAAUUUCCAAAGUUCUUCCCUAAAACUAUUACUGGUAGUCGCUUAUCUAGCACGGAGAGAAGAGAUAUUAA